GGGGGCGAUCAUACCAGCACUAGAGUGCCGGUUCCCAUCAGAACUCUACUGUCUAGCGUGCUUGGGCGAGAGUAGUCUACAAUGGGUGACCUCCUGGGCAGUGUUCGUGUUGCUUCCC
rfam:Gossypium raimondii chromosome 6, whole genome shotgun sequence.